rnacentral:misc_RNA from 1 species
GAUGAAGAACGUAGCGAAAUGCGAUACUUGGUGUGAAUUGCAGAAUCCCGUGAACCAUCGAGUCUUUGAACGCAAGUUGCGCCUCAAGCCAUAGGGUUGAGGGCACGUCUGCCUGGGCGUCACAUAUCGUUGCCUGAUGCCAGUUUCCUCGUGAUGGGUGACUGUGCAGGGCGAAUGAUGGCUUCCCGUGAGCAUUGUUGCCUCAUGGUUGGUUGAAAAUUGAGUCCUUGGUAGGGAGCGCCGUGAUAGAUGGUGGUUGAGUGACGAACGAGACCCAAUCAUGUGAGACCCCUACCGAAUUUGGCCUUCAUGACCCACAUGCGUCUUUGGAACGCUCAUGACGAGACCUCAGGUCAGGCGGGGCUACCCGCUGAGUUUAAGCAUAUCAAUAAGCGGAGGA